rnacentral:rRNA from 1 species
GCUCAGAACGAACGCUGGCGGCGUGCUUAACACAUGCAAGUCGAAUGCGAAAGGGGGGCUUGCUCCCUGAGUAGAGUGGCGCAUGGGUGAGUAAUGCGUGGGUAAUCUAUCCUAAUGUGGGGGAUAACUAUCCGAAAGGGUGGCUAAUACCGCAUGAGACCACGGAGUCCUCGGGCUCUGAGGCCAAAGAUUGCAUCGGCUUGCCGGUGCCGUCGUAAUAGGAUGAGCCCGCGUACGAUUAGCUAGUUGGUGAGGUAAUGGCUCACCAAGGCUAUGAUUGUUAGCUGGUCUGAGAGGAUGGCCAGCCACACUGGAAUUGGAAUAUGGUCCAGACUCCUACGGGAGGCAGUAGUGAGGAAUAUUGCGCAAUGGGGGAAACCCUGACGCAGCAACGCCGCGUGGGUGAAGAAGGCCUUCGGGUCGUAAAGCCCUUUCGGACGGGACGAAUGUCUUGCGGGGAAACUCGUGAGGCUUGACGGUACCGUAAGAAGAAGCACCGGUUAACCCCGUGUUAGCAGUUGCGGUAAUACGGGGGGUGCAAGCGUUGUUCGGAAUUACUGGGCGUAAAGCGCGUGUAGGCGGCCCUGCAAGUCAGAUGUGAAAGUCCUCGGUUUAACUGGGGAAGUGCAUCUGAUACUGCUUGGCUUGAGUACUGGAGAGGAAGGCGGAAUUCCCAGUGUAGAGGUGAAAUUUGUAGAUAUUGGGAGGAAUAUUGGUGGUGAAAGUGGCCUUCUGGACAGAUACUGACGCUGAGACGCGAAAGCGUGGGGAGUAAACAGGAUUAGAUAUCCUGGUAGUCCACGCUGUAAAUGAUGGGCACUAGGUGUGGGGGGUAUUUAUUCCUCCCGUGCCGCAGUUAAUGUAUUAAGUGCCCCGCCUGGG